rnacentral:rRNA from 1 species
UGGUGGUGGAAAGCUUUUGCGGUUUUGGAUGGACUCGCGGCCUAUCAGCUUGUUGGUGGGGUAAUGGCCUACCAAGGCGACGACGGGUAGCCGGCCUGAGAGGGUGACCGGCCACACUGGGACUGAGACACGGCCCAGACUCCUACGGGAGGCAGCAGUGGGGAAUAUUGCACAAUGGGCGAAAGCCUGAUGCAGCGACGCCGCGUGAGGGAUGACGGCCUUCGGGUUGUAAACCUCUUUCAGUAGGGAAGAAGCGAAAGUGACGGUACCUGCAGAAGAAGCGCCGGCUAACUACGUGCCAGCAGCCGCGGUAAUACGUAGGGCGCAAGCGUUAUCCGGAAUUAUUGGGCGUAAAGAGCUCGUAGGCGGUUUGUCGCGUCUGCUGUGAAAGACCGGGGCUCAACUCCGGUUCUGCAGUGGGUACGGGCAGACUAGAGUGAUGUAGGGGAGACUGGAAUUCCUGGUGUAGCGGUGAAAUGCGCAGAUAUCAGGAGGAACACCGAUGGCGAAGGCAGGUCUCUGGGCAUUAACUGACGCUGAGGAGCGAAAGCAUGGGGAGCGAACAGGAUUAGAUACCCUGGUAGUCCAUGCCGUAAACGUUGGGCACUAGGUGUGGGGGACAUUCCACGUUUUCCGCGCCGUAGCUAACGCAUUAAGUGCCCCGCCUGGGGAGUACGGCCGCAAGGCUAAAACUCAAAGGAAUUGACGGGGGCCCGCACAAGCGGCGGAGCAUGCGGAUUAAUUCGAUGCAACGCGAAGAACCUUACCAAGGCUUGACAUGAACCGGUAACGCCUGGAAACAGGUGCCCCGCUUGCGGUCGGUUUACAGGUGGUGCAUGGUUGUCGUCAGCUCGUGUCGUGAGAUGUUGGGUUAAGUCCCGCAACGAGCGCAACCCUCGUUCUAUGUUGCCAGCGCGUGAUGGCGGGGACUCAUAGGAGACUGCCGGGGUCAACUCGGAGGAAGGUGGGGACGACGUCAAAUCAUCAUGCCCCUUAUGUCUUGGGCUUCACGCAUGCUACAAUGGCCGGUACAAAGGGUUGCGAUACUGUGAGGUGGAGCUAAUCCCAAAAAGCCGGUCUCAGUUCGGAUUGGGGUCUGCAACUCGACCCCAUGAAGUCGGAGUCGCUAGUAAUCGCAGAUCAGCAACGCUGCGGUGAAUACGUUCCCGGGCCUUGUACACACCGCCCGUCAAGUCACGAAAGUUGGUAACACCCGAAGCCGGUGGCCUAACCCUUGUGGGGGGAGCCGUCGAAGGUGGGACCGGCGAUUGGGACUAAGUCGUAACAAGGUAGCCGUACCGGAAGGUGCGGCUGGAUCACCUCCUUU